AUGAUGGUUGUGCAUGUAGGAGACCUAGCCUUCUGUCACCAAGGAAACAGAAAGCAGAGGAGGAAUGUGACCGUGGGAGGCUGCAGGCAAAAGUGAUGUGGGGCCACAACUGUACCUGGAAGCUACAUGCCUUGCUUCCCAGUCCUGAGACUUGAAGAGCACAGAGGAAGGCCUCUUGUAGGUCAGUCACUGGCUCUGGACCAUUGACCACUACCACUGCUUUUACUUGGGAUGGUGUUCAAAUUGUGGGAUGUCUGAGAAAGCUGGGUUCCACGUUUUUGCUAUGCAACCUGUUCCUCACGUCCUGGACUUUGCCGGCUCCAGUCCUCAGUUGCCAUUCAGUAAGCAUUGUGACGUGUAAGGCUCUCAGGAGAAGCCAGAUCCCAGUGGCAUUAGUGUGACAAACAAGCUGUGCCCAAGGAGCUGACACUCUGGCAGAGUCCAGGACAUCCAGGAAGACAGAGGUGGUGAGAUCCUGGUGCUUUCCCACAAGAAGUUGCUCAAUGUGGCUACCAGGGAGGCCAAACAUAAGCCUGUGUCUGCAGACAGGAGGGCACCAACAAUGUGUCAAGCAACCUCAUCUGCAUCGUCACAAGCAUCUGCAGUGUGGAUAUCUGGUCAACAUGGUCGUUUGACAGUUGUGGAG
ensembl:lncRNA